rnacentral:lncRNA from 10 species
CCGCAUCCUGGAACAGCUGGCCUCGGGUCCGACAGUUACAGAUCAUCAGUGCAACUACUCAUAUCAUCAGUUCUCCCAAUGAUCUGGUCAGACAUGGUCUGAAAUUUAUCUUGGAUCUGCUGCAGGAGUUUCUGCACCACUGAGAGAGGAGCACACUCUUCCCAGUGAUCCCUGCAGAUACGUGGUGUGGUUGGUGUCAGGCCUCUGAGCCCAAGCUAAGCCAUCAUAUCCCCUGUGACCUGCAUGUAUACAUUCAGAUGGCCUCCAGUAACUGAAGAAUCACAAAAGAAGUGAAAUUUAAAUGGCCUGUUCCUGCCUUAACUGAUGACAUUCCACCACAGAAGUUAAAAUAGCCGGUCCUUGCCUUAACUGAUGACAUCACCUUGUGAAAUUCCUUCUCCUGGCUCAUCCUGGCUCAAAAAUUCCCCCACUGAGCACCUUGUGACCCCCACCCCUGCCCGCCAGAGAACAACCCCCUUUGACUGUAAUUUUCCUUUACCUACCCAAAUCCUAUAAAACGGCCCCACCCCUAUCUCCCUUCACAGACUCUCUUUUCGGACUCAGCUGCCUGCACCCAGGUGAAAUAAACAGACUUGUUGCUCAC